GCGCCUCAGCGCUCUCUCCUGGCGCCUCCCUCCUCGCUGAACGCCAACAGUGCUCUUCCUCAGAUGCUCGAUUUGACUGGUGUGAGGGUACAAAACAGUCACGAAAGUGAAAUCAUGAGACUAUUACCGAUGUAAAUGGCAGAUUCACCUCAAGAAGGAGAUACUUAAGAAGGUCUCAGAGACAGAUUAUGCCACUUCUGGAUCUACUGAAGUCUGAGUCACACCUGAGAAACACAGGCAAGUGAUUGGCUUUCCUGCCACCAGGUCUAAUGGCUUGGUAAAGAUACUGCUGCUAGAGUCAAAAUUAUACUAUGAUUAAAGUCCAGCUUGGGCUCCCAUAAUCCUAUUAUUAUUAUGGGAGCCCACUCUGAACUCUCCUGAGUUUGCGGGGCAGCAAGAAGACAGUAACGGGAAGGUUGUGAGCAACAGACAUUGGGCACCUGCCACUGUCAGCAGGAUAUGAAAGAGCCUAAGUAAGGGGAAGGAAAGAACAGGGUCCGUCUUUGAGGAAUUCAGCUGCUCAGGUUAGACUCCAUGUGAGCUCUCCUUCCAGAGGCCACGAUGGGGUAAAACCUGCAGAUGUGAGACAGGGAGGAAAAGCAAAGCCACAAAAAAUGGGGAAAGUGGGCAAAAUGAGGGAAAACCUGCACCCUCCAAGGCUCUAGAUGCAGGAGAAAUCUCCUAAUAUAUUCAGAAUUGAUGUGUAAUCCCCCAUAAAAUACAUCGUUUCCAUUGUAAAAAUCAGCAGUGAUGCAAACCCACUUCACGCGCAGCACCCACCUGCACCGUACCACACAACGCUGUGACAACACUAACACGAAGCUGAUGCUGAUUGCUCAACAGUGAGGGAUCCCUGCCCAGGAGCAGCCAGCACCGUGGAGCUGGUAGGUUAACUCAUCAACUUCUAAGCAUGGUAAAAUCUCAGGCCCUUCAGAGUUCUUGACAAUAACCACACCUCAGGGAGCUGUAGAACUGUGUAGAUAGAACCUGGACCACCUAAGCUUAUUUUUCUGGUGAGUAAAAUAUAGUCAAGAUAGUGAACAUGUUAGUCAUGGCAACUCCAAGGAACACUGAAAUUCUGUUUGCCAAUGUGUGUAGUCAGAGACGAAAACAAAAUGGAGUGACCAAUUUAGAGGACUUCCAGUUGUGUCCUGGUCAUUACUGAUGCUUUCUAGUCCUGAUUGCUUUUUAAGCUGUAGAUUAUUGUUGGAACUAAAGCUGCCUCGCUGGAAGAUAUUUAGCUAUUUGAACUACUUGGGGUUGUUGUUGACUAUUUAAAAUAAGUGUUUCUGAGUAUCAGUGAUCCGUUUUGAGCUACAGACAUAGAUUCUUUUUAUACCAGGAAACUGUCUUUGUUAUUUCUAUGAUGUUUUAUAAAAAUUUCUUUAGGAAUAAAACUGACCCAGGUUCGGCCGGGCACAGUGGCUCACAGUCUCGCUCUGUCAUCCAGGCUGGAGUACGUGGAAUACAGUGGUGCGAUCUCAGCUCACUGCAACAUCCGCCUUCCAGAUUCAAGUGAUUCUCCCAGGUAGCUGGAACUACAGGCACCUGCCACCACGCCUGGCUAGUUUAGUAGAGACAAGUUUUCGCCAUGUUGGCCAGGCUGGUCUCAAACUCCUGACCAUAAGUGAUCCGCCCGCCUCGGCCUCCCAAAUUGCUGAGAUUACAGGUGUGAGCCACUGGACCUGGCCCCAAAAUGAAAAUCUUCAUAGUAAACAUAAAACAAAUAAGCUACCCAUUAACUAAUAUAAGUAAUC
rnacentral:lncRNA from 1 species